ACGGGAGGCAGCAGUAGGGAAUCUUCCGCAAUGGACGAAAGUCUGACGGAGCAACGCCGCGUGAGUGAUGAAGGCUUUCGGGUCGUAAAACUCUGUUGUUAGGGAAGAACAAGUACGAGAGUAACUGCUCGUACCUUGACGGUACCUAACCAGAAAGCCACGGCUAACUACGUGCCAGCAGCCGCGGUAAUACGUAGGUGGCAAGCGUUAUCCGGAAUUAUUGGGCGUAAAGCGCGCGCAGGCGGUUUCUUAAGUCUGAUGUGAAAGCCCACGGCUCAACCGUGGAGGGUCAUUGGAAACUGGGGAACUUGAGUGCAGAAGAGAAAAGCGGAAUUCCACGUGUAGCGGUGAAAUGCGUAGAGAUGUGGAGGAACACCAGUGGCGAAGGCGGCUUUUUGGUCUGUAACUGACGCUGAGGCGCGAAAGCGUGGGGAGCAAACAGGAUUAGAUACCCUGGUA
rnacentral:rRNA from 1 species